AUAUAUAUAUAUAUAGAGGAUGUAUAUUAUGAGAAUGGUAAAAAUAUAUGAGAAUAUGAGAAUGAAUAAUAGCCAUAAGAUUAAAAAUUAAGGGCUAAGAUUAAAUAUAACUUAAAUGAGUCAAUUGUAUGUGAUCCAAUAAUUUCUCUCUUCCCCAACAAUAUCGAUGUAGCUGUUCAUAUUCUCUCUCUCCCUGCGGCAACGACGGAAAUCUCUCUCACCGGCGGCAACCAUCUCACUCCCGGUUAACCACCUCAAUCCCGGCGACCCAUCUCUCUACCCGGCAACCGUCAGUUCAUUCUCUUCACGAGCUGUUCAUGUUUUCCGUUUGUUCCUCUUUCAAUUUUUCUGCCAAAGAUCUCUUUUUUAUGUGUUUAUGUUUCAAUCAUCUCUUCUUCCUCAAUCCAUCAAUCCAUGAGAUUCAUUUAUUGACUUAUAAUAACAUCGAUGAUUUUAAUUUAGUUAUGGAUCUGUAAAUAAAAAACAAAUUUAGUUCUGGACAAAUCUACACAAGCUGAUGAUUUUGCCAAUGGAAGGAAGAUGAACAAAAACAAGUUAUCUCUUUAAAUUGCUUUCUAAUACAACCGGAAAAUCCAAGAAACAAUGAAUGAAUCUGAUCUCUAAUCAAUUUAGAAAUCAAAAGAAAAAAAAU
rnacentral:lncRNA from 1 species